rnacentral:tRNA from 1 species
UAGCUCAGUAAGUUGAGCGUGGUGCUAACAACUCCAAGGUCGUGGGUUCCAUUCCCGU